rnacentral:lncRNA from 1 species
GCCCCCUGGCCGAACUGGACAUUCAGGUCCCUCAUCUCCGCGGAGGCCUUGAAUUCUUCCACCGCAAGGGCCCUGGCCUCCGAGACCAGGACCGGAGUUUGCUCGACCAAAUGGGCGACCUCGGCCUCCGCCUUCCUCGCCGACUCCUCCAAGAUCUGCCUCUCCUCCUCCCGGGCUUGCUUCUCUCUUUCCAGGGCCUCC